rnacentral:rRNA from 1 species
AACGAACGCUGGCGGCAUGCCUAACACAUGCAAGUCGAACGAGACCUUCGGGUCUAGUGGCGCACGGGUGCGUAACGCGUGGGAAUCUGCCCCUUGGUUCGGAAUAACAGUUAGAAAUGACUGCUAAUACCGGAUGAUGACGAAAGUCCAAAGAUUUAUCGCCGAGGGAUGAGCCCGCGUAGGAUUAGCUAGUUGGUGAGGUAAAGGCUCACCAAGGCGACGAUCCUUAGCUGGUCUGAGAGGAUGAUCAGCCACACUGGGACUGAGACACGGCCCAGACUCCUACGGGAGGCAGCAGUGGGGAAUAUUGGACAAUGGGCGCAAGCCUGAUCCAGCCAUGCCGCGUGUGUGAAGAAGGCCUUCGGGUUGUAAAGCACUUUUGUUGGGAAGAAAUCCUUAGCGAUAAUACCGCUGGGGAUGACGGUACCAAAAGAAUAAGCACCGGCUAACUACGUGCCAGCAGCCGCGGUAAGCAUACUCGUA